rnacentral:rRNA from 1 species
AGCUGAUCAUUGGGCGUAAAGUGUGCGCAGGCGGUUUUGUAAGACAGAGGUGAAAUCCCCGGGCUCAACCUGGGAACUGCCUUUGUGACUGCAAGGCUGGAGUGCGGCAGAGGGGGAUGGAAUUCCGCGUGUAGCAGUGAAAUGCGUAGAUAUGCGGAGGAACACCGAUGGCGAAGGCAAUCCCCCUGGGCCUGCACUGACGCUCAUGCACGAAAGCGUGGGGAGCAAACA